rnacentral:rRNA from 1 species
GCGGCCACUGCUAUCAAGUUCCGACUAAGCCAUGCGAGUCAAGGUAUCGUAAGAUGCCGGCAAACUGCUCAGUAACACGUGGAUAAUCUAACCUUGAGUAGGGGAUAACUUCGGGAAACUGAAGGUAAUACCUUAUAAUUGCUUAAAACUGGAAUGUUUAAGCAAUAAAAGUUCCGACGCUCAAGGAUGAGUCUGCGACCUAUCAGGUAGUAGGUGGUGUAAUGGACCACCUAGCCUCAGACGGGUACGGGCCCUGGGAGGGGUAGCCCGGAGAUGGACUCUGAGACAUCAGUCCAGGCCCUACGGGGCGCAGCAGGCGCGAACACUGUGCAAUGCGCGAAAGCGCGACACGGGGAGCUUGAGUGUCUUGGCAUAGCCAAGACUUUUCUCAUUCCUAAAAAGCAUGAGGAAUAAGUGCUGGGUAAGACGGGUGCCAGCCGCCGCGGUAACACCCGCAGCACAAGUGGUGGUCACUUUUAUUGAGCCUAAAGCGUUCGUAGCCGGUUUUGUAAAUCUUUAGAUAAAGCCUGAAGCUUAACUCCAGAAAGUCUGAAGAGACUGCAAGACUUGAGAUCGGGUGAGGUUAAACGUACUUUCAGGGUAGGGGUAAAAUCCUGUAAUCCCGGAAGGACGACCAGUGGCGAAAGCGUUUAACUAGAACGAAUCUGACGGUAAGGAACGAAGGCUAGGGUGGCAAACCGGAUUAGAUACCCGGGUAGUCCUAGCUGUAAACACUGCCCAUUUGAUGUUGCUUUUCCGUUGAGGGAAGGCAGUGUCGGAGCGAAGGUGUUAAAUGGGCCGCUUGGGAAGUAUGGUCGCAAGACUGAAACUUAA